AGCCGGGGCUGCCUUGGUGGUUUGUUUCUCCUGAUUCGAUAUCUUUGUCUUCCCAUCUCCUUCCUGGAACCAUGGGCUCAUGGAGGAGAUUCUAUUUUUGGGUCCAGGACCAUCCCAUUUUCUCUGAAGUGAUGCUCUCCAUGAGCAUUUGCAGGGUUGAUAGUAAACAUUCCGAAAGCCGUCUGCCCUGAUUAUUGAAUUCUGCCCAUGAAGACUUCCUGGGAUCCCGAAGUAGAGGGAGUCUGGGAUCGGUUUGCUUUAUCCGUGAUGACUGUCCGCCUCUGCUCAGUGUCAGCCCAGCCCUUCGAAGCAUGUCC
rnacentral:lncRNA from 1 species